GCUUGCUUUUUAAGCUUAGUGGCGAACGGGUGAGUAACGCGUGAGUAACCUGCCCUAGAGUGGGGGACAACAGUUGGAAACGACUGCUAAUACCGCAUAAGCCCACGGUACCGCAUGGUACUGAGGGAAAAGGAUUUAUUCGCUUUAGGAUGGACUCGCGUCCAAUUAGCUAGUUGGUGAGGUAACGGCCCACCAAGGCGACGAUUGGUAGCCGGACUGAGAGGUUGAACGGCCACAUUGGGACUGAGACACGGCCCAGACUCCUACGGGAGGCAGCAGUGGGGGAUAUUGCACAAUGGGGGAAACCCUGAUGCAGCGACGCCGCGUGGAGGAAGAAGGUUUUCGGAUUGUAAACUCCUGUCGUUAGGGACGAUAAUGACGGUACCUAACAAGAAAGCACCGGCUAACUACGUGCCAGCAGCCGCGGUAAAACGUAGGGUGCAAGCGUUGUCCGGAAUUACUGGGUGUAAAGGGAGCGCAGGCGGGAAGACAAGUUGGAAGUGAAAACCAUGGGCUCAACCCAUGAAUUGCUUUCAAAACUGUUUUUCUUGAGUAGUGCGGAGGUAGAUGGAAUUCCCGGUGUAGCGGUGGAAUGCGUAGAUAUCGGGAGGACACCAGUGGCGAAGGCGGUCUACUGGGCACCAACUGACGCUGAG
rnacentral:rRNA from 1 species